CAGGGAGACAACAAAAUGUUUAAUAUUAUUAUUUUGUCACCUUAGGUCGAUCGGUAUCUCACGUUCUUAAUUUGUUAAGAAUUUCAUUUCCUAAGUUUUUCUAGGUCACACCCAUUAUUUUUCCUGGGCCAUUAGCUCAGGUGGUUAGAGCGCACCCCUGAUAAGGGUGAGGUCCCUGGUUCAAGUCCAGGAUGGCCCAUAUCUCUAUGUUGGGGGUAUAGCUCAGUUGGUAGAGCGCCUGCUUUGCAAGCAGGAUGUCAGCGGUUCGAGUCCGCUUACCUCCACUGAUUACCACCUCUUCCAUAACCGGUAGAAAGGAAAUGUUUUGAGUUGUGAUCAUUAUUCUGAAAGAAUCUAGCUUCCUAAUGAAAUCAUUAAGAUGCUGGACUCAUUGAAUUAAUUUCAUUGUUUUCAGAGAACCUUGACAACUGCAUAGAUUUUUUUUAAAGACAAUAAGCAUCUUUAAUGAUGCAGAUUUAUUAUUUGUGCGAAUGCAUUAAUAACAAUUCUAUUAAGCUGAUGCUUCAAUUUUUGAAGUUAUU
rnacentral:tRNA from 1 species